GGGUAGUUUCUCUUCCCCUCGUACAUGCAAACUUACAAGCCAGAACUCUGUGGUUUGUGCCUUAGUUUGUUAUGAAAACAUGCAUAUUUGUAGCCUGAGUCAGAACUGGGUUCCCCAGCUGAAGAUAAGCUUUCUGCAAUGACUUCUCUUCCAAUCCCACCAGCUGGGCACAGUGCUGAUUAAAAAAAAAAACAACAUCCUUGGCUACAGGAGGUUCUCAUGAGUGCCCAAUGGCCACAGGUGUUCUCCAGCCUGCUAAGCAGGUUUUAAAUGGGAGGAAAAGAUGCAGCUAAAUUACUUGUAUUCCCCCCAGUGGGAGGAAGCUGACCUGUGGAGGAGGAGUGUCCAGUACUGAGAGCACCAUCUUCUCAGCGGAGCGCUUUCCACCAAACUCACCUCCCCCACCUCAGGGCCCUGAGCCAGGAGGAGAGCUGACACUUUGCAGUCAUCUCCUGCCAUGUGGGUUUGAACACUGUAAGAGCAGAGCUGACAGCCCCAGGGAGCCUGAAGUUGUUCAUGAGGAUAUCUUUUACAGAUCACCUUGUUUCCUGUGCCAAAUCAGCACUGACAGGAACCAAAGUGACUUGCUGUUGGGAAGCUACCUGCUGCUGAUCCCUGGGGGAGAGAAGAGGAGUUGGCAUAUCCUGUGGGAAAGCAGCACAUCGAAAGAGAAAAGAGUACAUUCAUGCAUACAUGGGAGAUGACUACCUUGAGUUCCCAGGGUCGCACUGCUGGCUGCAAACCUUUCAUAGCUGGGAUAGACUUUUUGCUGUUCUGACUACAGCAGUGUAGUGGACUUUUACUUCUAACUGAGGCAGAGAGGCACACUGAAACACAAGUUGUGUCAGAAAACAGACUGUCUAGCUGACCUCCGAAGUAAUAUCAUUUAACAGCAUCAACAAAUGGACUGACAAACUGCUGGAAAAA
rnacentral:lncRNA from 1 species